rnacentral:lncRNA from 1 species
AUGGUUUCACCUCCUGCCCUGCUAGUUCUUAGAGCUGGGUGGAGUUUGGAAGGAAGGGAACAAUGGACCCUGCAAGGAGAACUGAAAGCAGAUGGAGAACAGCAAAGGUCUGUUGAUGGCAUCCAACUUCUGUCCUUAGGCCUCUGGCCGGAAAAGGAAGAGAGGCUGUGGGAGUCAGAAGAUGAGUGGCAGAUGGACCUGCUGGGUCUUUUUGAUCCAGUCCCUCGAUUAGCACUCUACUUCCUGCCUCUGGCCAGAAGAAGCAGAAAGACUGGUCCAUAG